UUUGGACACUGACGCGGCGGUCUAACAUAAUAUACUCGGCGGAUUUUGUAUUUAGACCGGAAUUAAAUCGGUCUAAUCUUACAACGAACCGCUCUAAAUGAGAAAUGCGGGGAAUCAAAAAAACCCCAUCUCCCGCGCGGAUGCCUGUUUCCUGUUCGACAAGGCAAAAUGUUCCUGCAAAGAGAACCUUGCUGUAGAGAAAUUUUGACGAAGACGAUGAUCCUUUUUCUCGAACAAGAAAAAUUUUAGAGGGAGAAUCAUUGUUCGAAUAGUCACUGGGAAAGAAAUCUAGGGUUACAAGUGGUACCACUUGUUCAUUCUUCGUUUGAGGAGGGUUACAAAUAGUCAGUGGGAAAGAAAUCUAGGGUUACAAAUAGUCACCGGUGUGUGACUCUAUAGCAUCAAAACUUUGUUCAUUCUUCGCUUGAGGAGGGAGGAAGAUACCUUUGUUCGUUCUUCGCUUCAGAAGGGGAAUUUUUUUUCGAUUGGGCAAUAUCUAAGCCAACAUCGACCUGCUGAUGAAGGGCCCCCACCAAAGGAGAGUUCGUAGUAGUAGAAUUGCCUCGCAAUAUUUUCGUGCAUCUGCCAACAUUUACAGGCGCACUAAUAUGAUUUCUAAUCAUAAACAAGUAUGUGCCAUGUGAAGUGGGUAAUCCUUCCUAAAGGAGGAAGGAGACAUCAAUUUUUAUCUCACCACAGAGGCACUAGAAUUGUACAGGCUGUGGCAGUUCCAGUUCAACCACCUACAGUAGACAGUGCAGAGCAAAGAAAGCAUCUAGCUGAAAGUUAUGGCUUUACCCAAAUUGGAGAACCACUGCCUGAAAAUGUUACAUUGAAGGAGAUCAUUGGCACCCUUCCAAAGAAGAUGCAAACUUUUCAGUCAAGUGCGGUGGUCUAGCUAUGGCACCUCCUACUGGUCGAAUUUUUGAGAGUGAAAAUGAAACUCUUGCUCCAGCAUCGUAUUAUGUAACAAAUACCAAAAAAUGGGGAGUUAGCAAUGUUGGAUUGUUUAAUGAUAGAAAGGCACCUAGUUAUUUCCAGAACACAUURUCACAAAUUGCAGGCACAGGUUCAACCAAUAUGUUAAGUGGAUUUGCAUUGGAAGAUGUGCUGCAUUAUUAUAGAAUUUGAUUAUUUUUUUAAGUUUUUGUACUAUUUAUA